GAGAGGAAGAAGAUUGUCCGAGAUAACGGUUGGCUUGAGCGCAUAUGUUGCUUGACAACGGAGAACUGCUGUUCCUUGAUUCUUUUGAAAU
ensembl:ncRNA T21H8.10 ncRNA